rnacentral:rRNA from 1 species
CUCGGCAGGUCCAGACAGCGUAAGGAUUGACAGGUUGAUUGUCCUUUCUUGAUUCUCUGGGUAGUGGUGCAUGGCCGUUCUUAGUUGGUGGAGUGAUUUGUCUGGUUAAUUCCGUUAACGAACGAGACCUUAACCUGCUAUUUAGUCGCUCGGUCCUUGUCCGUGCGCACUUCAUAGAGGGACUCUGCGGCGUCAAGCUGCGGUGAGGUUUAAGGCAAUAACAGGUCUGUGAUGCCCUUAGAUGUCCUGGGCUGCACGCGCGCUACACUGAUGCUUGCCUCGUGUUUACCCUCGGCCGAUAGGCCGCGGUAACCCCUAGUCUGCAUCGUGUUUGGGAUUGAUCUUUGCAAUUCAAGAUCAUGAACGAGGAAUGCCUAGUAUGCGCAAGUCAUCAGCUUGUGCAGAUUACGUCCCUGCCCUUUGUA